rnacentral:tRNA from 1 species
GUCUGGGUGGCUCAGUUGGUUGAGCACCCAACUUCAGCUCAGGUCAUGAUCUCAAGAGUUUGUGGGUUCAAGCCCCACAUCGGGCU